AGUUAAGCUAUGACAAAGAAUAGUACAUACAAGAUUCAUUUAAAGAGAGCCUGUGGUUGCUGUGAACAGGUACUGAACAGUAUGGAAUGGACUUUUGAGCUUCUGUGCAGAAAAUAGUACGUGCAGACGUAAUCUUGCGUUAAAGAUUGAAGUGAUUUCUACUGUUUAGAAAUAAGUAGGGUGGCACCGCGGUCCAUCGUCCCUAUC
rnacentral:ncRNA from 1 species